ACGAACGCUGGCGGCGUGCUUAACACAUGCAAGUCGAACGAUGACGACCGAGCUUGCUCGGUCUGAUUAGUGGCGAACGGGUGAGUAACACGUGAGCAACCUGCCCUUCACUCUGGGAUAACCUCGGGAAAUCGGGGCUAAUACCGGAUAUGAGCUUCUGUCGCAUGGCGGGUGUUGGAAAGUUUUUCGGUGAAGGAUGGGCUCGCGGCCUAUCAGUUUGUUGGUGAGGUAGUGGCUCACCAAGGCGAUGACGGGUAGCCGGCCUGAGAGGGCGACCGGCCACACUGGGACUGAGACACGGCCCAGACUCCUACGGGAGGCAGCAGUGGGGAAUAUUGCACAAUGGGCGAAAGCCUGAUGCAGCGACGCCGCGUGAGGGAUGACGGCCUUCGGGUUGUAAACCUCUCUCAGCAGGGAAGAAGCGAAAGUGACGGUACCUGCAGAAGAAGCGCCGGCUAACUACGUG
rnacentral:rRNA from 1 species